AUGGCGGACGAGCAGCUGCAGCAGCUCCGUGCGGUGCUACAGGGGGAGGGGAAGGUGGUUUCUCCUGACACAAGCUGGAGGCCGGAGCCUGUGGCACCCUGGCUUGCCUCACUGAAGCUGGUGGCUGUGACAGGGACUGCACGGCUGCUGGAGUGGUAGAAAGGCAGCCCAGGUAGGAGCCGCAGCCCCAGUGGGCCCAACGGUUCCUGUGGGUGGGGAGCCAGCCACCUUGGAGUCUCCAGUUCACUGAAACCUGUCACUGCCACCCAGUGGCCACCAUGACAAGGAAGCCAUCAUUCUGUAGAAGGCAGUGACGGAACAGUACCAGCAGAAAUUGAAGGACCAGCAGAAGGGAUCAUGGCCAAAGUUGCAGUGUCCCCCCGCUCGUUGAAGAUGAGGAGUUCUCAGAGAGCGGGAUGUUUGUGACAUUCCUCAUGUCAGCUCUCGAGUCCAUGUUUCUUUAUUUGUAGGCAUAGCUGCAUAAAGAAACCAGUUGGCCCACCAGCACCAGGGCUUCUCCACCCCUGACCACAUACCAGGAGAUAAGAUCCCCAACCAGCACAAACUCGAACAGACCCUCCAUCACCCUCCUGUAUCCUGCUGGAGAUUUUGGAGCAUCUCAGCAUCUCUGGGGCAGCUCGCGGACAUCAGGGAGGGGCAGGCAACAAAGCCCACGUAGACCCUUACAGCUGUGCUGGUGAGGUGAAGCAGGAACUCGCUGAGCUUCAAGGAAUAUGAAACCGCUUCUUUUAGCUCUCCCAGAACUCUCCACAUUGAUCCCACUCUGGCUACUAGCACCAGCUGGACAGUAACGACUUUCAGAGGUGAACACAAUGUGCUUCAACAUGCCUUCCUGAAAGUUCAGUUAGCAACUGGACAGCAUCUGAAUUCCAGUUCUGCAAAGCUCUUCUCUGAAUACCUGAGGUACCAGCAUGAUCCUGGCACUGCCCCUGCCUCCGCUGUCUUGUCUAAUUCUAGCUCUCUGGGGCCACUCUUGUGAGUUUCUAGGUUCCGAGAACCUUAAUCUUUUCCAUUGUUUCCCAGCCCUAGACAGGUAGCUGCUACCUGAUGUUGUCAUCCUGUGUUAGCUCAGUGUUCAUUUUUACCAUUAAAACACCUGCUUUAAAUAAUCUUCAUCAAAU
ensembl:lncRNA LINC01518 long intergenic non-protein coding RNA 1518